CGGGGCGGGCGCAGGGGGCGGGGAGGGCGCGUCCGGCAGCUGCCAAACGUGCUGGAAAACCAGCUGGAAGCGAAGCAGGUGUAGCAGGGGAGCGAACAAGGCCCGGGGGGUUGAUCAGUGGAGCCAGAACUCAGUGGAGCCUGGUGACAUACAACAGUAGGAAGACCAUGAAAGAAAGAUCUGCAGUUCCAGCUGAUUUUGAAUCCCAUCAGUGUGGACCCAGUCACCAUGAACCAAUUUUCCAUGACAGAUAUCAAAACAAGAUCUCAGUCUCAGCUGAGGAUGUUCACAUUGCAAACCACUCAGACUGCAUCUGAAGAGGACCAUGCCUGUUCUGCCUGCAGUCCUGAUCCUGAUUCCAGUCCAUGCAUUCCUGAAUCCAGUUCCUGUCUACUGUGGAGUCCAGCCCAGGACUUCCUGAUGUCUGUCCUGCAAGCACAGGCAUGAUGCCAGCAACUGCAUGGGAUUCUAUGACCAUCCAGGACACUCGAUAUUGGCUUUGUGUAUUUUGCAUUAUUUCUUUUAUUAGUAGUAUUAUCACUAAAACUGUUUUAAUUUUCCAACCUGUAAGCAUCUCUCCCUUUCUCUUCCAGGAGGAGGAGAAAAUAUUUUUCAUAUAAAACAUUAAGAAAAAAAUCAUUAAUGUUAUGGAAUGUUACAAACAUUUCCACACAAAAAGAAAUACGUGUUUUACCGAUUUUAUUAUUUAUGGGACAUGAAGAAGGGCUUCUUCAAGUACAUCAGGAGCAAAAGGAAGGCUAGGGAAGAUGUAGGUACAUAUCUCUGGAGACAUUCAAAACCUUCCUGGUCACAUUCCUGUGCAAUCUACUCUAGGUGUACCUGCUUUACAGGUGGGUUAGACUAGAUGAUCUCCAGAGGUCACUUGACCCCUAACCGUUCUAUUAUUCUGUGAUUAUCUUUCAUGUUCAAUAUAUGACUUCCACAUUUCUGAGCUUGUACUCUGUGUGAGACUCCUCAACUGUAUUUUAGCAAAUUGUUGUAAGCAUCUUCCAUGAGAUUUGCGGCAUUUAAUUUAAGCUGUGGUGAAUGCUGACAACAGAUAAAUUGUUUUCUAGUAUAGCAAAUGGAGAUCUAAGCAAUACAAGAGAAAAACCUAGUUUGUGUGAUUUUAGCAUUCUAUAGAAUACAAACUAUAAUUGAAAAGAGGAUGAAUGAAAAGGAUGUCAAAAAGAGGAAAUGAAAGUGAUGUUUACACAUUCCAAUGUGUAAACACAAUUCUUAAAAAUUCCAAAACUACCUUAUAGUAACUUAGAAUAUUGACUGAAAAUAAUCUAAUUUUAAAAAAAGAUGGUUAAUUAGAGUAUUUCAAGAUCACUCACAGGUGAUAUAUAAAUAUAACGUCUACGCUUAGGUUUGAGAAUUGUUAAUGUCACAUGAAGUUUCUCAGGGUAAAAUUAUGCUGAAUGUAUUUUACACUCUAGUCCACUGAAGGUGGAACACAAGUACCAAUUUUCACUACAUAAAUAUCUUCACUAUCUUCAGAAGAGCUGCUAUUGCAUAUAAUACAGAGAGGGGGUGAGGGUAAGGUUAUAUAUAACUCAAAAUAGAAUACUGCUUAAAGUUAAGGAGAAAACCAAUUAAUAUUAUAUAUAUUAAUGAUUAAUAUAAAGCCAAGUAAUAUUAAUGUCAAAAUGCAAUGGAAUAUAUGAAUGCUACUUCUAUUGUCACCCUCAUUUAAUGUGCUAACCAGCUAUUCAAAAACUGCUGCUAGUUGUUUUUCUUUCUCCGAAGUCAGUGCUGUCUAUGUGUGAAGACAUUGGACUGGAACUUGGGGCAUUUCUGCUCUGCUGUAGGCUCAUAAUCACAUGACGGGUAGCUUUGACCAAUAAAUCUUUUCACUUACCAGUGCCUUAGUUUCGCCAUAUAUAAAAAGUGAUUAUAUAAACAUUAUCUACAGCUAAAAAAAGCCAAGUGCAUAUAUGAGAUCAGUGAAAAAGAUCCAAUGAGAAGCAAGACUCUGAACUGAAAUAUUGCUAUUGGACUGAAUCAUGGUGUGAAUGGUCUGUAAAGAUAUAAAAGUGUAUGGUUUUCUGUGCUUGGGUGGGACCUCUGUGCAGCUACCAGCUUGACCCAGCCCUCCUGCUAUUCUGAUCCAUUAUUUCAUUUCAUUUCUGAGUAUUUUUUUUCCUGAAUAUUUGAUCCACGACAGGUUACCAGACCUCGCCUGAAAGUUUGCCUCCAGAGCUCUAAAAUACAGACUCUGGAGUGAAUGGUUAUUAGGGAGGGAAGGUGCCUGAAAUUUUGCUCUGUGAAUGGCUGUCAGGCUCCUGGAGAGAAGGUCAGCAGCGUUUGGCUUGGUGUAUUUCCUCCAUGCAGUAAAUAAUGGAGUGAACCUGCUGCCAAACUCUUUUAAGUUGUGCUUUUCUUUAAUAAAUCUAAAUGUUGUUCUGUAAUAAGCGGAGCCAUGACUUUCCAUCUAGGAGCCAUCACUCCCCCAUGACACUCAGGAGGCAGCAUUUCCCCAUAAGGUGGAGAACUGGGUGGAGGCCCACCAUUUGUCCCUGAGCACAGCUUCAGACACAUGGUUGACAUACAGAAAGGAUUUGCCCUGCUGACACUGGUUUGGCAGGUGGGUAAGGAGACAUAGCGGAAGAAGAGAACAGGAGCUGCUGAAGUAGAGGGACUGAAAGCACCAUAGGUGAGUUCUGUGGCUGAGGGAUAAUAUGUUGGGGCUAGAGCACAGUGGUUAACAAAGGUGGUUACAGGUGGAAGGGAUGGUCAAGAACAGCUGAGAGGAGGGGAAAUACAGACAAAGAAACAACACUACAAAGAGUCUUCUCAAAAAGCAGGUACAAAGAAGCCUUUGACUGAACCACAGUUGUGAACAGACGCAGAAUGGAUUGGGAAGAGAAGCUGACAUAGAGAUUGAGACUGUCAACUUAGAAAUACAGAGAACCGCACAGGUAAGAGACAGUAGAAAACCGAAGGAAUCCAGGUCAAAAAGGAGAGAUAGAUAGACAGAAAGAAAGGAUGAAUGAGAGAUUGGAACACAGACAGUGAAGAGCAGAGUGGGCACAGGCCAAGAAAAGAAAAGAACCUAACCCAGAGGAAAUCCGAACAGAGAAUUAUUUAUUUGUACAUUAAUAUAAAGGUACACUGUACUACCAUUUAAAAAUAAGAGCUCUGUCUGUGCAAUAUGUAUUGUAAAUACCUAGUAUAUAGUUUUAACUACCUGGAUGUAGAAUUUUCCAUCUAGAAAUAAUAUUUUUUCUCUGUAUUAUGUGCAGAUGUGCUGUCCAAAGCAGAAGACUUAUUCAAUACCUAAAAACUACAGGAUAUUCUGUGGUGUGGGUUUUGUUUAGGUUGGGUUUGGUUUUCACUUUACUGUCAAUUCAGGGUUCAGUAUCUUUUUUUCAACACCAACAACGUGGGAAUCAGAACAUUUCAGGAACUGGCUAUCCUAGUGGCAGCAGGAACUGGAACAAUCUGGUGGGUGUUUAACCUUUGAUAAUGAUUCUUAACUAGCAUAUAUUUCUGUUGGGCAGCUUGAGUGAUGUUUCUUCUAGCUGUACUUAGGCAGCUACAAUGUAAGAAUUUACACAAAGCUAAAUUUCUACUCAGUUUUUUUUAAUAUUAAAUAAAAUAUGCAAGCAUGGACACUUUUCAUCUCUUCUGUGAAAUUCUAAAAAUCUGAUUAAUUUGCUCUGCAUAUUCCUGUGAGUCCAAGUAUCUAUCUUCAUAUUUACAUACCACAAUAACACCUCUGGACUCCAGACCAACAGAAGGAUCCUGGCAUAGAGCUAGUACUCUGUGGAGUAGAAUUAGCCAUAUUUAUUCUGCAUAAGGGUUAGUCUGGGUCUACCUUGGUUUGUGUGACCCUAUAGUAGCCUGCUGCAGUGAUGUUUUCACAGUAUGUGCUCAGUGCCCUGGAGCCUGGUGUGAUAUCAGUUGCUGAUAUUUGGGAAUGAAGAGUUGCCUGGAAUAAUAUGGGACAACUGUUCCAAGUGGAGGAACCAGGACAAGCUUCUCAUCCAUAUACUAUGUCUGUAGCAGAGCAUCCAUUAGAAGUGCUUGUAUUUUUGUUGAUGGUACAAUUUGGCUCACAUCACAGGAGAUCCCACAUACUGUCCAGAGCAGAGCCAAAGUGGUGCUGCAGACACCUCACUCCCAAAGGGGACUACACCAUCAGUUUCUAGCAGCAGCUGAGAACAAACUCUGCUAUAAAGCAAACACAUUUCCUUUGACACGAGUGGUCAUGGGCCUCAUGAAAUGCAAAUUAAAUUCAUCCACAGAUCUUCAGCAUUAAUAGAUCUACAGGUAACACCAGGCUAGAAAGGUCUCUUGAAACAAUGGAGCUUUGUACAUCCUUAUCACCAGUUUGGUCCCACAAAUAUGCAGUCUGUUAGCUUUGUUUUGCAGUUUCCAUCACAAAGGGGGUGGAGGAAGAGUUGAUUUGUUGUUUACUCAUUGCUUUCUUAUUCUGUCCAAGGUACCACUGCCCUUUGUCUCCAGACAGUGACCAAUAACCCAUAGUCUCCUCUGAAAAGAGCAUAUUGAUGUAAGGGGCUGAAUUUCAUCCUGCAUACCUGUGGGGUCCCGGUCCAAUUUCGGACUCAGGAAGGUCCAAAAAAUGAUUCCAAGGGUGAGAUUAAGACACAAAUGAGGUCAGAUGCCGCUAAACUAUCUUAUUUUAUUUUUAUGCCUAAAGACAGAGUAAAUCUAUUUCACUUUCACACCUAAAUCUAGAGUGACAAAGAGAAAGCGGGGGAGAAAUUAGGAGGAAAGUUAAGCAAGCAUGCGAGAAGAUAAGCAAGAGAUAAGCAAGAGAUAGUCACGGCCAGGGAUCCAAAGGUCUCCUGUGGGGCAGCUCUCAGGUCUCAGGCCUCUGCAGCGCUGGCAGUUUGCAGGUCUCAGGUCCCAGUAACUCUGGCACUUUGCAGGUCUCGGGUCGUGCCAGUAUCAGAGUCCAGGUUCUGGUAGCAGAGUUCAGGUCCCAGGAGGUGUUGGCAGCACUUGGGUGUCAGGUCCGCCGGUCCCAGGUGACAGGUUUUGGCCCUGGUGGUGGAUGGCCACACUUGCAAGUCAUAACCUGGUCAUUUUAUGGCAGUUGGUGGCAGGUGUUGCCUGAGCACACUGCAGGCCUGGUCGCAGAUGUUGGUGGCUGAUAUCGCUGGAGCUUCACUUGAGCUUACCUAAGCUUCAAGCAUUCUUUGUGUUUUAGCAAUUCACAGUGAUCAUGCAUUUUGCACUUUAAGUCACUGUAUUUAGGCCUUUACAGUGGACCCAAUUAAGCAAGCAGCCUGAGCAAGCAUUUUUCUGUAACAAGCAGCCUUAAGCAUAUUAUUUUAGCAAGCAAGCUUUGAGACAAAUAAUUCACAAUAUCUCUGCCUUCCACAAUUAUGCCGUGUGUUAAGGACCACCAGCUCUCACACACACUCAAACUGUAUGCUGAGAGCUAUCUUAUCUCGCAAUACCUUGCAAGAUCCAGCAUGUGUGUCAUUCUAGACCACUAGGACAAGACUCAUCUGAUAAGACUAAUUCUUAAGCAGAAGUACUAAUUUCCAUUUUAGGAUAAUUUAUCAUGUAGUGACAAACUAAGAUCCAGACAUCUCUACUCUGAACGUCUUGAGCUGGAUAAACAGACUCGGGUUCCAGAGAUUAAACAUGGGAACUCUGAAGAGCGAAAUACAAAUAAAUUUAUCCAGCUCACAUCUAAAAGUUGGUUAUGUAUUUCUAAGGAAAUUAUCUAGGCUUUCUCUGUAAACAUUAGAAAGAAGUGGGUCCUACCAAAGUCUAUUAAUCCCAUACUUAGGGAUCUAGAGAUAGUCUCUGUAUUGUUCUUACCCAAACAACAUUCAAAACAACUAAUUAUAUUUCUAGAUCUGUGAUUGCUGUUAUAAUAUAAACACAAAGACAAGACCACUAGAAUCUUUUAUUUUUCUAUAAUUCAGAAAUAAAUCCUUUGAAAUCAAUACAGCUGCAUUUUUAAUUAAGGUGUGUGUGCGUGCACAUGUGCAUGUAUUAGGAAUAACUUAAGUUAAAGGUUUUAGACAAUUAAAAUUGGUUUGUGUUAUAGCUGAUACAGAAAAAAACUACUUUUGUUUGGUCAGAUGUGUGUCUUCAAUGACCUUUACUGCAAGCCAUUGCCUUGAGAAGUGAAAGCUGGGUUGUACACCACUAUAUAAGAAAGUAGGACCUGCCUUAUGGCCCUGAUAUUCUCUUCCUUAACCUGAAGUCCUUUUCUGUGUUCUGAUUUGUUUUGGUUUUAGUAUGAGCGACGUGAGUCAGAGCUUGUAUCAGCUUUCGUGGUAAGGACUUCUUACCUCUGCUUUCCCUCAGCUCUGACCUAUCAAUAUAUAUGGAUAUCUUGCUAAACAUCAGUCCUCUUCCUUUAUGCAUGUUGAAGAACACCUAGUACCAAGGCUGAGUCUUCUGUCAUGUAAGAACAGCUUUCUUGUCAAAUAACUUAAUUUCUGAGUUUUAUUCUUAAUGACAACUUCUGAUCAUCCACCACAAGAAUAUAUUGAAUCUGGGGUAGUCCUUUAAUGGGAAACAAAAUAUGGGUUCAGCAUGACAGAUGCUUCACUGUGUUAACCCCUUCACGAAUAUGAGCCAGCAGCGUGCCCAGGUGGCCAAGAAGGCCAACUGCAUCCAGACGUGUAUCAGAAAUAGUGGGCUCAGUAGGACCAGGGCUGUGACUGUCCUGUACUGGGCAUUGGUGAGGCUGCACCUCGAAUCCUGUGGUCAAUUUUGGGCUCCUCGCUACAGAAAAGACCUCGAGGUGCUGGAGUGAGUUCAGAGAAGGGCAAUGGAACUGGUGAAGGGUCUGGAACACAAAUCUCAUGAGGAGUAGCUCAAAGAACUGGGGCUGUUUAGCCUGGGGAAAAGGAAGCUGAGAGACCUUAUUGCUCACUACAACUACUUGAAAGGAGGUCACAAGCUUUGUGCAUGUUGUUUGUCUUCAGCUCAUGCCAUUUUGGGGAUGUAAUCUGACUCCAGAUCCAGAUUUGCAGAUGUGUACAAGCCCACUGGAUGUCUGAAUUCCCGUCAUCAUCCAAAAAGAACAAAUCCAUAAAGUUAAUGUAGUAUGGAGACUGAAUCUACUGAAAAAGUGUGGCUGGCAUCUAUAGCCAACAGUGACAGCUCAGACACCCACUUCAAAUGUCAACAUUUGGAUAUUCUGAUGCCUAAAGAUGUUUUGUGUCAUUUUAGAUGUCCAGGAGUAUUCCAUCUGUCCCACAAAUGCCAUUCCAAAAUUAUAUGAGGUUCUUAUAGCUGUUGUAGCUCCUGGUUUUAUGUCAGAAAUCUCUUAUCUAGUCUGUGUGAGGAAUCCAUGCUAAUAAUCACUUGAUGGAUAUUGAGAACUUAUAUGUGAUAACUCUGAGAUGAAACCAAUUGUUCCUGAAGAACAGAAUAUCUAUUCUAGAGUCUCUGUCUCUCCAAGCUGUUAUACCUACCAGGAAAUUACUCCUACUUAUUUUUGGCAUAGUGAAACUAGUGAUGUGAUUAAAUCAACAGUCCAUGCCCUCCAUUAUAAAAAUAUUAUGCAUCCUCUCAGUAUAAGACCUUCAGCUCAUAUGCUACCUUAUUUUCUGACUACACAAGCAGUGAUAUAUGUCUCAAAUAUGCUUUUACAUUUUAAAUCAGAGAUUUUAAAAGAUAAUUAACUGAAUCUCUUACUGCCAGUUCAUUUUCUCUUUUAAUUAACUCUGAAAAAAUAUUUUUCAUUUUUUAUAUUUUAAUUAAUAGCUUUUGUACAAAUUAAGAUGUCAAUAAAAACAAACAUGUUAAUCUUCUGCAAAGAGGUGUGCCUUGUAAUUCUUCCGUGGAACUUCAGGCUCUCAAGAUAAAAAAAAAAAAACAGAUGACACGGAAUUAAGA